AGCAGUAGAACUCCUCAGAGCAGGUGCACGAGGACGGUGCCUGCAAAGAACCAGAGAGCACCGCCGCUGAAGGGGCCACCAGAGGACUUCCAGGAAGUGAGUGGAAUGAAAGGAUUUGAAUAAAACCACAUUAGUGGAUUAUAUUCUAAAUUGAGGGCCUUGCCACCAGCAUCUGCCAAGUUUUAGAUCCAUGUUUAAAGUAUUUUCUUCAACUGAUUCCACUCAUGUUGAAAUAGGAUUAGUAUUGUCAGUUUUCUUUUACCCGCCUCACAGAGAACACUGUUCAGAAUAGUUGGUAUCUGUGAAAAAGUUCAAGGAGGUAGAUUAAAAUAGCUAUCCAUCUAUCUACUUUUCUCUUCAAUCCAAUGGAUAUGUACAGACAUCCUGAAGAAUCAACUGGAAGCUAGAAAUCCUUCUUCAAGAAUUGUAGUCUAGCUGGAGAGAUAAGGCCAAGAAUUGAGGAGCAGCUUAACUGGGUCAAUCUGGCUCAAGAUGUCUCAGAAGUGCAGCUAUUGGCUGGAGCUGCAGUCUCAUUCAAACGCUCAACCUGCUUCCACUCCCAAUCACAAGGGCUUCAGUUCCUUCCUGGAUGGCUGGGAGACUUCAGCCCCUUACCUAUCAAUAGUUUGUCUUACUGCUCUCCUGAUACAGCAGUUGACUUUCCUCUGGAAGAGUGAUCUAAGAGAAGGAACUGAGAAAAAGAGUGGUGAGUUGGCACUGUCUCUACAGAUGUGAACAAGAACCGACUAAUGGGAUCCAGGAGCAGAUGUCAGGAGCUCAAGGUGAGAGGGCACAUGGAUGGGUCUCCUGACACCUCUGACUUACACUCUCUUCAUAUGCUCCUGAAUGGUGAAGGAAGUCUAGAUCCAUUUUCUCCUGGUUUUAAUAAUAGCCUUGGCUAGGUGUAAUGACUCUUGCCUGUAAUCCCAGCACUUUGGGAGGCUGAGGUGAGUAGAUUGCUUGAGUUCAGGAGUUCGAGACCAGCCUGGGCAACACAGCAAAGCCCCAUCUCUACAAAAAAUACAAAAAUUAGCCAGCCAUGGUAAGGCAUGCCUACUCACUUACAGCACCCAGCUACUUGGAAAGCUGAGGUGGGAGGAUUGCUGGAAUCUGGGAAGUGGAGGUUGCAAUGA